ACGAGAUAGGAGUCCGUCUCGUGGGCUCGGAGAUGUGUAUAAGAGACAGCCCGGAGCCGAAGGGAAACCGAGUCUGAAUAGGGCGUCUAGUUAUAUGCGAUAGACCCGAACCCAGGUGAUCUAGCCAUGGCCAGGAUGAAGCUUAGGUAAAACUAAGUGGAGGUCCGAACCCACUGAUGUUGAAAAAUCAGGGGAUGAGCUGUGGUUAGCGGUGAAAUGCCAAUCGAACCUGGAGCUAUCUGGUUCUCCUCGAAAUGGCUUUAGGGUCAGCCUCGAGUAAUAGAUCUUGUUGGGGGUAGAGCACUAGUUAGGGACGGGGGAUGAAAUAUCCUACCAACUCUUAUUAAACUCCGAAUACCAACGUAGAGUUCCUCGGGAGUGAGACUACGGGAGAUAAGUUCCGUGGUCAAAAGGGAAACAGCCCAGAUCGUCAGCUAAGGUCCCCAAGUUAUAGCUAAGUGAUUAAGGAGGUUGAGACACUCCGACAACCAGGAGGUUGGCUUAGAAGCAGCAACCCUUGAAAGAGUGCGUAAUAGCUCACUGGUCAAGUGUUUCAGCGCCGAAAAUGUACGGGGCUAAGCUAUACACCGAAGCUACGGGAUACAAUUUAUUGUAUCGGUAGAGGAGCGUUCUGCCUUAGGUAGAAGCUAGACCGUAAGGACUAGUGGACGAAGCAGAAGUGAGAAUGGCGGCAUGAGUAACGAAAACAUUGGUGAGAAUCCAAUGCGCCGAAAACCUAAGGUUUCCCUACGCCAGGCUCGUCCUCGUGGGGUUAGCCGGGUCCUAAGGUGAGGCCGAAAGGCGUAGCCGAUGGUUAGCAGGUUAAUAUUCCUGCGCCACUGUUAAUGGUUUGAGCAAUGGGGGGACGCAAAAAGCUAGGUCUGGGGAUCUGUUGGAAUAGAUCCUUGCCACAUAUAGUAGUUCAGGUAGGCAAAUCCGCUUGAAUGAUGAUCGAAGGUGUGAGCGAAAGUGGUUACGUACCGCGAACAGAUUGACGCAAGUUGCCAAGAAAAGCCUCUAGUGACAUUAAUAGUGCCCGUACCGCAAACCGACACAGGUAGGUUAGUAGAGAAUACUAAGGCGCGCGAGAUAACUCUUGCUAAGGAACUCGGCAAAAUAACUCUGUAACUUCGGGAGAAGGAGUGCCACGUGUAGUGUGAUGGAAUUUACUUCUUGAGCAUGAAGUGGUCGCAGCGGAGAGGUCCAAUCGACUGUUUAGCAAAAACACAGGUCUCUGCUAAGGCGCAAGCCGAUGUAUAGGGGCUGACACCUGCCCAGUGCCGGAAGGUUAACGAAGGCUGUUAGGAUUUAUCCGAAGCAGUUAACCGAAGCCCCGGUGAACGGCGGCCGUAACUAUAACGGUCCUAAGGUAGCGAAAUUCCUUGUC
rnacentral:rRNA from 1 species